UUCCAGACUCCUACGGGAGGCAGCAGUGGGGGAUAUUGCACAAUGGGGGAAACCCUGAUGCAGCGACGCCGCGUGAGUGAAGAAGUAUUUCGGUAUGUAAAGCUCUAUCAGCAGGGAAGAAAGUGACGGUACCUGACUAAGAAGCCCCGGCUAACUACGUGCCAGCAGCCGCGGUAAUACGUAGGGGGCAAGCGUUAUCCGGAUUUACUGGGUGUAAAGGGAGCGUAGACGGUGAUGCAAGUCAGAAGUGAAAGCCCGCGGCUCAACGGCGGGACUGCUUUUGAAACUGUAUGACUGGAGUGCAGGAGAGGUAAGCGGAAUUCCUAGUGUAGCGGUGAAAUGCGUAGAUAUUAGGAGGAACACCAGUGGCGAAGGCGGCUUACCGGACUGUAACUGACGUUGAGGCUCGAAAGCGUGGGGAGCAAACAGGAUUAGAUACCCCCGUAA
rnacentral:rRNA from 1 species